rnacentral:rRNA from 1 species
UACGAAGGGAACUAGCGUUGUUCGGAUUUACUGGGCGUAAAGAGCAUGUAGGCGGAUUGGUCAGUUGGAUGUGAAAUCCCGGAGCUCAACUCCGGAACUGCAUUCAAUACUACCAGUCUAGAGUCUGUAAGGGGGUGGUGGAAUUCCGAGUGUAGAGGUGAAAUUCGUAGAUAUUCGGAGGAACACCAGUGGCGAAGGCGACCACCUGGUACAGUACUGACGCUGAGAUGCGAAAGCGUGGGGAGCAAACAGG